AUUGAACGCUGGCGGCAUGCCUUACACAUGCAAGUCGAACGGUAACAGGCCGCAAGGUGCUGACGAGUGGCGAACGGGUGAGUAACACAUCGGAACGUGCCUGAUAGUGGGGGGAUAACUACUCGAAAGAGUAGCUAAUACCGCAUAAGAUCUCAGGAUGAAAGCAGGGGACCGCAAGGCCUUGCGCUAACAGAGCGGCCGAUGGCAGAUUAGGUAGUUGGUGGGAUAAAAGCUUACCAAGCCGACGAUCUGUAGCUGGUCUGAGAGGACGACCAGCCACACUGGGACUGAGACACGGCCCAGACUCCUACGGGAGGCAGCAGUGGGGAAUUUUGGACAAUGGGCGCAAGCCUGAUCCAGCAAUGCCGCGUGCAGGAUGAAGGCC
rnacentral:rRNA from 1 species